GACGAACGCUGGCGGCGUGCUUAACACAUGCAAGUCGAACGGAAAGGCCCUGCUUUUGUGGGGUGCUCGAGUGGCGAACGGGUGAGUAACACGUGAGUAACCUGCCCUUGACUUUGGGAUAACUUCAGGAAACUGGGGCUAAUACCGCAUAGGAGCUCCUGCUGCAUGGUGGGGGUUGGAAAGUUUCGGCGGUUGGGGAUGGACUCGCGGCUUAUCAGCUUGUUGGUGGGGUAGUGGCUUACCAAGGCUUUGACGGGUAGCCGGCCUGAGAGGGUGACCGGCCACAUUGGGACUGAGAUACGGCCCAGACUCCUACGGGAGGCAGCAGUGGGGAAUAUUGCACAAUGGGCGGAAGCCUGAUGCAGCAACGCCGCGUGCGGUAUGACGGCCUUCGGGUUGUAAACCGCUUUCGCCUGUGACGAAGCGUGAGUGACGGUAAUGGGUAAAGAAGCACCGGCUAACUACGUG
rnacentral:rRNA from 1 species